CAGGAAGGCGCGCAGCUCGGGCAGGCUGAUGUUGAAGAUGCGGCUGAAGUUGUGCAGGGUCCGGUUCCAGCGCAGCUGCGCCGCCGCCUCCGACGGGCUCUCGAGGGCCGAGAAGACGGUGGCGCCGGCGCUCAGCUCACACCAGUAAAGUAUUGCAAAGAGUGACAGCCCUGUCAGCGGGCCUGCAGGGCGGGUGACACGGGUGGGAAAGAUCUGGGCUUGAGAGUGCAAACAGACCCUGAGAGCCGCAUCUCCACGUUCUUCAAACAGCUCCAGGGGCGGUGACUCCACCACCUGCCUGGGCAGCGUGUUCCAAAUGUAACAACUUAGUUUACAGCGUACUUGAACGUCAUGUUUUAAUAGCCGCUGACAGAUUUAAACUUAACAGGUUUUGCCAUUCUCGCUUCUGCGUUUAAGUGUUUUGUUUGUAGAGGGAGAAGGAGAGUGUCCAAGCAGAAGUACCAGAGAAGAUUUUCAGUCUCAAAGGGGCUGAUAUCACGUGCAGCCCUUAAUAAGAAAGGGGCUCCUGUUUCAAAGUGUCAAUGGUGUACCACUGUAAAUGCUAAAACCAAAUAAAAAUAAAACAACUAAGCCAAUCAAACACAAA